rnacentral:rRNA from 1 species
ACAUCCAGAGAAUUUAGCAGAGAUGCUUUAGUGCCUUCGGGAACUCUGAGACAGGUGCUGCAUGGCUGUCGUCAGCUCGUGUUGUGAAAUGUUGGGUUAAGUCCCGNAACGAGCGCAACCCUUAUCCUUUGUUGCCAGCACGUAAUGGUGGGAAACUCAAAGGAGACUGCCGGUGAUAAACCGGAGGAAGGUGGGGAUGACGUCAAGUCAUCAUGGCCCUUACGAGUAGGGCUACACACGUGCUACAAUGGCGCAUACAAAGAGAAGCGACCUCGCGAGAGCAAGCGGACCUCAUAAAGUGCGUCGUAGUCCGGAUUGGAGUCUGCAACUCGACUCCAUGGAGUCGGAAUCGCUAGUAAUCGUAAAUCAGAAUGUUACGGUGAAUACGUUCCCGGGCCUUGUACACACCGCCCGUCACACCAUGGGAGUGGGUUGCAAAAGAAGUAGAUAGCUUAACCUUCGGGAGGGCGUUUACCACUUUGUGAUUCAUGACUGGGGUGAAGUCGUAACAAGGUAGGCGUAGUGCU